rnacentral:lncRNA from 1 species
UUGGUAUUUAACAAAAUGAAGAGUCUGAGUGGAUUUGUCCAGACAUUCAGGGAGAUUCCCCACUGUGAAGUCUCUGGUGUCUAAUGAGGGCUGCACUACACGAAAGCUCUGCCACAUUUAUUUCUCUUCAUAUUUCUUAUAUAGCAGAAAACUAGGUAGGAUAAGGACAGAGUAAAUGAAGAAGUGAUUCCAGCUAUAAUUUUACAAAAGAGAAUAAUAAUGGUACCUACGUUGCUACAAUGUGCGUUAAUGCACAUAAACGGCCCAAACCAGUACCUGGUACAGAAUAAGCACUCAGGAAAGGUCAUUUAUAUAAAACGGUUCCACCACACUGCAGGCUGCAGAGACAUAAGGGAUGCGUUGGUGCCUAACCUGGCCCUGGUACAGGAGCCUUGGGCGCUACCUGCCUCACUUUCCAACCAAAUGCUCCAGGGUAUGCGGGCCCUCAGCCGGUUUCCAAGCAAACGACCCGGAGGUGUCUAGGAUAAGAAACACACAUACACCCCACUUCCACACGCACAAAACCCAAAAACACGCUCCAGGGGCAGAGGGGGCGCGUCAAGGUGGCCGAACCCUAGCUUCAGC